UGCCCAUAGCAACUCCUAUCCCUACCUCCUCGCGGUACUGGCCGGGGUACGAGCAAUCUUAAAAAAUCCGGUGGGAACUUUGGUCAUAUGCUGACAGGGAAAA
rfam:Aedes aegypti strain Liverpool supercont1.1267 genomic scaffold, whole genome shotgun sequence.